GAUGAACGCUGGCGGCGUGCCUAAUACAUGCAAGUCGAGCGAACGGACGAGAAGCUUGCUUCUCUGAUGUUAGCGGCGGACGGGUGAGUAACACGUGGAUAACCUACCUAUAAGACUGGGAUAACUUCGGGAAACCGUAGCUAAUACCGGAUAAUAUUUUGAACCGCAUGGUUCAAAAGUGAAAGACGGUCUUGCUGUCACUUAUAGAUGGAUCCGCGCUGCAUUAGCUAGUUGGUAAGGUAACGGCUUACCAAGGCAACGAUGCAUAGCCGACCUGAGAGGGUGAUCGGCCACACUGGAACUGAGACACGGUCCAGACUCCUACGGGAGGCAGCAGUAGGGAAUCUUCCGCAAUGGGCGAAAGCCUGACGGAGCAACGCCGCGUGAGUGAUGAAGGUCUUCGGAUCGUAAAACUCUAUUAUUAGGGAAGAACAUAUGUGUAAGUAACUGUGCACAUCUUGACGGUACCUAAUCAGAAAGCCACGGCUAACUACGUG
rnacentral:rRNA from 1 species